rnacentral:rRNA from 1 species
GGGGGAACUGAAACAUCUAAGUACCCCGAGGAAAAGAAAUCAACCGAGAUUCCCCCAGUAGCGGCGAGCGAACGGGGAGGAGCCCAGAGCCUGAAUCAGUGUGUGUGUUAGUGGAAGCGUCUGGAAAGGCGCGCGAUACAGGGUGACAGCCCCGUACACAAAAAUGCACAUGCUGUGAGCUCGAUGAGUAGGGCGGGACACGUGGUAUCCUGUCUGAAUAUGGGGGGACCAUCCUCCAAGGCUAAAUACUCCUGACUGACCGAUAGUGAACCAGUACCGUGAGGGAAAGGCGAAAAGAACCCCGGCGAGGGGAGUGAAAAAGAACCUGAAACCGUGUACGUACAAGCAGUGGGAGCACAGAGCAAUCUGUGUGACUGCGUACCUUUUGUAUAAUGGGUCAGCGACUUAUAUUCUGUAGCAAGGUUAACCGAAUAGGGGAGCCGAAGGGAAACCGAGUCUUAACUGGGCGUUAAGUUGCAGGGUAUAGACCCGAAACCCGGUGAUCUAGCCAUGGGCAGGUUGAAGGUUGGGUAACACUAACUGGAGGACCGAACCGACUAAUGUUGAAAAAUUAGCGGAUGACUUGUGGCUGGGGGUGAAAGGCCAAUCAAACCGGGAGAUAGCUGGUUCUCCCCGAAAGCUAUUUAGGUAGCGCCUCGUGAAUUCAUCUCCGGGGGUAGAGCACUGUUUCGGCAAGGGGGUCAUCCCGACUUACCAACCCGAUGCAAACUGCGAAUACCGGAGAAUGUUAUCACGGGAGACACACGGCGGGUGCUAACGUCCGUCGUGAAGAGGGAAACAACCCAGACCGCCAGCUAAGGUCCCAAAGUCAUGGUUAAGUGGGAAACGAUGUGGGAAGGCCCAGACAGCCAGGAUGUUGGCUUAGAAGCAGCCAUCAUUUAAAGAAAGCGUAAUAGCUCACUGGUCGAGUCGGCCUGCGCGGAAGAUGUAACGGGGCUAAACCAUG